rnacentral:tRNA from 1 species
GGGCAAAUUCCAGAGUGGCCAAAUGGGGCAGACUGUAAAUCUGCUGGCGUACGCCUUCGGUGGUUCGAAUCCAUCUUUGCCCA